rnacentral:rRNA from 1 species
GAUGAACGCUGGCGGCGUGCCUAAUACAUGCAAGUCGAGCGAACAGACGAGGAUCUUGCUCCUCUGACGUUAGCGGCGGACGGGUGAGUAACACGUGGAUAACCUACCUAUAAGACUGGGCUAACUUCGGGAAACCGGAGCUAAUACCGGAUAAUCUAUUGAACCGCAUGGUUCAAUAGUGAAAGACGGUUUUGCUGUCACUUAUAGAUGGAUCCGCGCCGCAUUGGCUAGUUGGUAAGGUAACGGCUUACCAAGGCACCGAUGCGUAGCCGACCUGAGCGGGUGGUCGGCCACACGGGAAGUGAGCGACGGUCCUGACACCUACGGGAGGCAGCAGGAGGGAAUCGUCCGCAAAGGGGGGAAGCCUGACGGAGCAACGGCGGGUGGAUGAUGAAAGGCUUCGGAUCGUAAAACUCUGUUAUUAGGGAAGAACAAAUGGGGAAGUAACUAUGCACGGCUUGACGGUACCUAAUCAAAAAGCCACGGCUAACUACGUG